UAAAUACACAGUGCUUGUCCUUGGCCUUUCUGUGGGCAUACCAGUGUCAGCUGCACUUGUAGGGGCCCAAGUGCCUCAUGACCCACUCCGCAGCCUUCCUCUCCAGGAUCCCCAAGGCUAGGAGGCCAACCUACUAACAGGUGGGUAUGGUGUGUGGUUUCACUCAGCUCUUCUCAUGGGGUUUCUCUGAGCUCCAUUCAUACCAGAAAGGGAGCAGGAGAGAGAGGACAAGUGGAUCCAACAGCCUUCGCUCCAGGGGAAUCAGGGCAUCGCCUCCUUUUCUGGGAGGACACUCCCUUCUGAUGGUGAAUGGGAACUCCCUUCCUCCUGCAGCAGCCUGCCUGCAGCCGUCCUGGUAGAACAGUGUGGACAUUGCAGAAGCUGUCACUGCCCCAGAAAGAAAGCACCCCAGAGCCAAGGCAAAGAGUCUUGAAAGCGCCACAAGCAGCAGCUGCUGAGCCAUGGCUGAAGGGGAAAUCACCACCUUCACAGCCCUGACCGAGAAGUUUAAUCUGCCUCCAGGGAAUUACAAGAAGCCCAAACUCCUCUACUGUAGCAACGGGGGCCACUUCCUGAGGAUCCUUCCGGAUGGCACAGUGGAUGGGACAAGGGACAGGAGCGACCAGCACAUUCAGCUGCAGCUCAGUGCGGAAAGCGUGGGGGAGGUGUAUAUAAAGAGUACCGAGACUGGCCAGUACUUGGCCAUGGACACCGACGGGCUUUUAUACGGCUCACAGACACCAAAUGAGGAAUGUUUGUUCCUGGAACGGCUGGAGGAGAACCAUUACAACACCUAUAUAUCCAAGAAGCAUGCAGAGAAGAAUUGGUUUGUUGGCCUCAAGAAGAAUGGAAGCUGCAAACGCGGUCCUCGGACUCACUAUGGCCAGAAAGCAAUCUUGUUUCUCCCCCUGCCAGUCUCUUCCGAUUAAAGAGAUCUGUUCUGGGUGUUGACCACUCCAGAGAAGUUUCGAGGGGUCCUCACCUGGUU
rnacentral:sRNA from 1 species